GUCUAACAGAAUUGAUGGUUUAUAUUCCAUGAAAUGGUUCUUACCUAUCAUAAAUAGACGGUGUUAUGAUCAAAACUGUAUUCCUUAUCCCUGGGAAAUUUAUAGUAUACUGAUUAUCAAAUUGAUGCAAUAAAAAUGGAAUUGUAUAAACUUGAAUGGGGUCAGGAUAACUAUAUCAUAUAAUUUGAGUCUCAGAAUGAUAAGCAGUUCAUCUUUGACCAUGAAGUUGAAUAUGUUGAUCAGAACCCAAACACUGAUGCUGAAUGGAAGUGUCUGCACGAAAUGUGGUAAACUUCUUACCUUCAGUGUCCAGAGAUUUAAAUCAUUACCAGCUGUACAUUUUAUAGCUGGAUUUCACACACAGGUUUCAGAAACCAAAUAUGCAAAAGAGAAUAUAGAGAAGAAAGCUGAAACAAGAAAAAAGAAACCCAAUGCAAACAAAGUAUACAGUUUCAUUGAUGAAGAAAGAGCAGGACAAAUUGCAAAUGCCAUUCUGAAGAACAGAAAAUAUAGAGAUGGUAUCCUCAUCGAAACAGAUGCAGGUCAGGGAAUAUUAACCAAAGCUUUAAUGGAGAAUGGCAAGACAAUAAAAAAAUAUAUUGCUGUUGAAAGAAAUAUGGAUUAUCUAAAAGCAUUAGAGGAUUUACAAAAGAAGUUGGGGAAAAAAUCAUUUUUGGUAAAGACAGGGAAUCUUUCACAUUUUAAAUAUGCCUACAAAUAUGGUGGAUUACAAGGAAAUAUAAAUUUAACAGAUAUUGUCUCCUUAGAGAAUAAGAAACAAAAUGUGACAUUUGUUGGAAAGAUGUCUGAAGGCAUUGAAAGUAGCAUGGUAUUUCACAUGUUAGAAGAGCUUGCAGAGAAAGAAGGAGUGUUCAGUAAUAUAAACCCUGAGUAUUUCUUCUUUGUAUCACCAGCUAUGUGCAGGAGACUUCGUAGUGUUGAAUUUAGAGGAAGUAGUUUAAGAUAUUUCCUUCCAUUUCCUAUGAUGAUGCAUCAGCUUUUUAAAAUAAAAUAUAUCGAUAAGGUCCCAUUAUCAUCAUUAAAUUUACUACCUGUCAGAAAGUUUCAAGAGUUGAAGUUACCAGAUGAUGUUGUUACUGGAAGUAAUGGUUAUUUAUUCCACGUGGUUCCACGACUUCAUGUUAUAAGAGAAGUGGACAACUUUCAUCAUCUUUAUAAAUUCUUAUUCCAAGUUAUCUCAAAGAAAAAGAGGGAAAGAUUGAUUCCAAAGAUAUGUAACAUGUUCCCUGACAGUGGAAUACAUCUUGUAUGUAUGGGUAUUUUAAUGAUAGACAGACUAGUGGAUAUAACCCCACAACAAUAUUUACAGAUAUACACAGAAAUGAAGACCUGGCCUGGAUAUGAGGAAUCCAUAAUACAUUCCAUUUUAACUGAUUCUGACACCAAGGAUGAAAAAUCUCAUGAUGAGCAUGAUCUUAUAGUAGAACAACCAGAGGAGCAUGGUCUCAUGGAACAUCAUGAUGAGCAUGAUCUUAUAGUAGAACAACCAGAGGAGCAUGGUUUCAUGGUACAUCAUGAGGAACAUGAUCUUAUGGAAUAUCAUGGAGAACAUAAAGAACUAAUCAAACAUCCAGAGCACCAUAGUGAGAUAAUAGAACAUGAGGAAAAUUAGAGUGAUUUGAAUGAGCAUGGUGAAGAGAGCAAUGAAAAUACUAUGUGAUAAAGAGCAAGAUGACCUUUCAGAACUUACCGAAAAAUAUGAUACAUUGACAUAAAUACAAUGCAAACCAUAAUAGAUCUGAAGAAUACUACAGUUAUCAUAUAAAUGGUGAUGGAUGAAAUUACUCAUAAGGCAGUAUUAGUAUUACUAGACAGAUCAACUAGUAUCAAUGUAUAAGUCUGCAAUGUUUGGUAGUUUUGAAUCCAGCUUCUUUGACAGUACUUCGGACAGACACGCCUUUGAGGAAGAAAAUAAAAAAGACUUGUUGAUAAUUGUUGAAUAUAUUGAGGAAAUAUUAAGUUAGUUGUUAUUUAUUGUUAGGAACUAAUAUGUGCAUUUUGUUCAAAACUUGUUUAAAAAGACCCAUCUGUAUUUUUUAAUAUCACAGCUCACUUGAUUUUUAUGAUAUAAUUCCUAUUUUGGUGUGGGAUAUCACUCCUCUUUUUUUUAAACACUUUUAUAGGAUAGGGAUAUCUUAGAUUCAUAAGAACAAUGUAUGAAGACAAUUCAUCUCUCACCUAGCUUACCACAUUCGUAAAUUGGUUGAUUCUUACUUCUUAAGUAUACUUAUUAUUAUAUACUACUUCCAAACAUUUAACAGAUAAAACACUCUGUCAUAUUGAUAUUUGAUGGAAUAACUGAAGAUUUAAAGUACCAAAAAAUUAUUGAAGAUGAUUCAAGUUCAAGGCUAUUUGUGUUUUACUUUGACCUGUAAUGUAGUUAAUUAUGAUUCAAUUGAUCUUAAGAGUUCUCUCCAUUUCCAUUCUCAAUUUUAUCUAUUAACACAGGGUUAAUCAUAUUUGGUUCAAAUAGUGAUUGACUGUUAUUUGCUUAUUGUCUAGUGGCAAGUAUCACAUGCAUAAUCAGGAGAGAACAAAUUUAUCAAUAAAUCAUAAGUAGAUUCUGAAAUGGAAUCAGCAGGAAUGGAGGGUGAAACAGGUCACUAAUGGGUCAUUCAAAAGGUUCUUUUGCAUAUAAGAGUCCAUGCCCCUGCAUCAAAUUUAAGAUCACAGUUCUGACAAAAGACAUAGCUGCCACACAAUCAAAUAGAAAUAUCCUCAUCAAGAUUCUUGAUUUAUGACAAUUAAAAAAAUUAUUAUUGUAGACAGCAAUCAAAGACAACCCUUGAUUACAUUCAUUACCAGAAGAAAGAGCAAUUGGAUUCAAUUUUUAAAAUCCUGACAAUUAGGAAAAAGAUGUUUCAUUUAAAUAUUACAUACCCUUCCCUGAUUUCUCCAUCAUGGCAUUUUUUAUUCUUUUUCAAGUAAGAUUUUACUCCACAACAGCCUUUGUUCUGGUUUUUUCCAUUGACAUAAAGUUCACCAUUACAACAUAAGUCUGUAUCUCUGUUAUAUACUUGUCUUCCACAGUAAAGUUGUGUUUCGUCAAGUUUGAUUUGUUUUCUACUACAAAAUAAUAUUUAAUGUAACUGUCAAUCUUCAGUAUUGUUUUUUUUAUGUUGACACUGUUUUUUUUAUGUUGACACUGUUUUUUUUAUGUUGACACUAUUUUUUUUUAUAUGUUGACACUGGGUUAUUUUUUAUGUUGACACUGUUUUGUUAUAAAAGCUCGAAACAGUAAAGAAAUGGAUUUCAGGUGCACCAAAGCCUUAAGUAGUUACCAGACAAUUUUUACUAAACAGAGACUUCUGUAGAUCUCGACAUACUCAUCAUUUAAAACAAUGGCACAUGUUCAGAGAAUCUUAUAGUGUUUGAUAUAUAAGCCAAAAGCUGCAAUGUGAACCGUAUGUUAUAUUUUUAGUAACAUAAGUAAUGUUUAUUGAAGAAUUGGAACCUUGGAUAUAUACAUUAUUUCCAAUUGACAUUAACACAAAGUUUGCUUUAAAUACAUUCAGUAGUUUUGGAGUAGAAAAUUUGUAAAAACAAUAGUUAUUGGCAAUGAUUGAUUGUUGUUCUCAAUGAAUGAGUCAUAUGCUAAAAAAUGGCAAUAGCUCACAUCAACUUUAUAAUUGUCUAGGUGAGUUAAUAAAAGAUGAUGAUGAUGAUGGAUGACUGCUUAACGUCCAGCGGCAUAUUGAUAUGCAUAUUCAGUAUGAGAAAAUGAUAAUGUAAUAUGAUUAUUUACCCUGCUUUGUACUAGACAAAUAUGCUGAGCAAGAUUUUUAACAUGCUUAAAUUAGUUAAUAAAAGAGAAGUGAGGUAUAUAUCAAUGAAACUGAUACUUCACUUAAAUCCAUCAUGCAUGAAACAUAAUAAAACUGAUAAGGUUUCAAAGAAGGAUAAUUAUAAUUAUUUAGUUUAGUAUAUAAAACAUAAAUGUGUAAACAAUCUUUUUCCAAAAUGAUCAGUUCAGUUUUGAUUAUAUCUUGAAAGUUUACAACUUGUUUUAGUGUUUUUAUUGAAUUUCCUCCUAAAAACAGAUGAAUUUGUUUGUUAUUGUUAAAUAUAUACGUAGCAAUUUUGUUUUCAACACUUAAAUUUUGUAUUUAACAUGUUCUUAAUAAAAUUACAAUUAGA